rnacentral:rRNA from 1 species
UACAGAGGGUGCGAGCGUUAAUCGGAGUUACUGGGCGUAAAGGGCGCGUAGGCGGUGAGAUGUGUGUGAUGUGAAAGCCCCAGGCUUAACCUGGGAAGUGCAUCGCAAACUGUCUGACUGGAGUACAAGAGAGGGUGGCGGAAUUUCCGGUGUAGCGGUGAAAUGCGUAGAGAUCGGAAGGAACGUCAAUGGCGAAGGCAGCCACCUGGCUUGAUACUGACGCUGAGGCGCGAAAGCGUGGGGAGCGAACAGG